rnacentral:rRNA from 1 species
AUGGCGCCAUCGCCGGCGGCCUCUCCCCUUCAUCUACGGCGCCAUCGCCCGCGGCCUCUCCCCUUCAUCGACGGUGCCAUCUCGUCCGAGUACGAGCUGGAGGAGCACGUGUACGUCGGGGACGCAGCAAGGCCAGCACGCCAUCGGUCCCGUCUUCCCUGGUUCCUCGCCGAGCGCCACGAAGAGGAAGAGAGAAUGGUGAAGGAGAAGGGGAAUGAGAAGGGAAAGGGUGCUGGUAAGGAGAAUGGGAAGCCGAAGGGUGCUGGUAAGGAGAAUGGGAAGGCAAAGGCAAAGGAAAAGAGCUUGAAUUACCUAAUUAGGCAAGAUUCGGCGCUGCCUCCUCUAGUUCCGAGGAAGAAGAGCAAACCUAAGGUGCAGAUUAAGAAGGCGAAAGACUUUCCCAAUGCCCCAAUGGGAGAGUUAAUUUGUAGGUUAAAAAAACACCCUCCGCCUCCUCCGCGUCUCCCCGACCGCACCGGUGCCGGCGUGCGUGCCGCGGAAGCCGCUGCCUCCGGCUCGGCAACUGGCUCCGAGCUGCCUCAUGCAUCUACUAUUGUGGUAGAGGACGAGGAGAAGGAGGAGGACGACGAGGACGAGGACAUGGAUGAGGACAAGGACAAGGAAUAUGAGGAGCAGAAUCUGUUUGUGGUUCCGCCAUUGCAAGCGGGUGCUGAUAUGUCGGAUGAUGAUACAUCAGAGGGGUAUAAGGAAUCAGCAGAUGAACUGGAAGGUGACACUAUGUCCGAGGAAUCACUUGUGCAUGUUGUCUCUAGUGAGGAGGAGGCAAGAGAAAGGAAAAGGAAAAAGAACAAGAGGCCAAGAGCCAAUGCUCCCGUUAGGACGUCAUCCAAUGUUUGGGCCCAUUUUCACAAGGUCAAGGAGCCAGAUGAGAAGACUGGAGAGAUUGUGUUGAAGGCUGUUUGUAAUUAUUGUAUUGAUAAGAAGUAUGCGUAUACGCAAGGUGGCAGCACCUCAACUAUUGGAAGGCAUCAUUUAAAAUGUAAGAAUUACAAGGCCAAGAUGGCUAGGGAUGCCAUCCAAACAACUCUGGAAUUGCGCAAAAUCAAUGGUACAGCAAGUGGUCCAACAAUGCACCCCUCUAUUGAGUAUGACCAAGGAAUUGUGAAGGAGCUUAUUGCUAAGAUGAUAUGUGUGCAUGAGUAUUCAUUUAGAAUGGUUGAACAUGAGUGGUUCAACAUUCUAAUGAAGUGCAUGAAUCCAAAUUAUAAACCCAUUGGAAGGAAGGCAAUACGAGCCGAGUGCAUGAGGGUCUACAAGAAAGAAAAAGAGGUGCUUAAAUCUGUCCUAAAGGGUGUGAGCUCCAUAUGUCUAACUACAGAUUUGUGGACAAGCAACCAAACCUUAUCUUACAUGUGUGUGGUUGCACACUACAUAGAUGGGAAUUGGAAUAUGCAAACCCGUGUUCUUGCUUUCAUAGAGUUGGACCCUCCUCACUCUGGAAAUGUCAUUGCGGAUGCUCUCUAUGCUUGUGUGGCAGAAUGGAAUAUUGAGACCAAAAUAAUGUCCGUCACACUUGACAACGCUUCAAACAAUGAUGGUGCAGUCGAUGCUUUGAAGGCCAAGUUCUUGUUUCGGAGGUAA